CAGCAGCCGCGGUAAUACCGAGGGUGCGAGCGUUAAUCGGAUUUACUGGGCGUAAAGCGUGCGUAGGCGGCUUUUUAAGUCGGAUGUGAAAUCCCCGAGCUUAACUUGGGAAUUGCAUUCGAUACUGGGAAGCUAGAGUAUGGGAGAGGAUGGUAGAAUUCCAGGUGUAGCGGUGAAAUGCGUAGAGAUCUGGAGGAAUACCGAUGGCGAAGGCAGCCAUCUGGCCUAAUACUGACGCUGAGGUACGAAAGCAUGGGGAGCAAACAGGAUUAGAUACCCCGUAGUCCCUGUCUCUUAUACA
rnacentral:rRNA from 1 species